GAGUCGCAUGAUGAUGACACUUAUAAAGUAAUUCCUUGAAUCUUUCCCAUGCUUCAUAUAAAGACUCAUCAUCUAAUUGUUGGAAAAUAGUUAUCUCAUUACGGAACUU
rfam:Gossypium raimondii Chr05_contig_764, whole genome shotgun sequence.